GCGGAAGUGGUGAAAUGGCAGACACGCUAGGUUGAGGGCCUAGUGAGCGCAAGCUCGUGCGGGUUCGAGUCCCGCCUUCCGCACCA
rnacentral:tRNA from 1 species